rnacentral:lncRNA from 1 species
GAUCUUAGUAGAAAAUGAGAAGUCCUAUGCGAUUUGUGAGACUGAGUUUAGAAAGUUUUUGAUUAAAAUAAGUGAGAAUACUGAAAAAGAGUUUCCACGAGAUUCAUAAAUGAACUUGAGUCGAGCCAAUCUUGCAUAUGACUGACGAUGGAGUCUGACGAGUUCUCCAUGACCUCCAUCAAGUCAGGACUCACAAUAGAAAGACUGAAUCAAACGAUAACUCCACCUAGGGGUUCACACUUUUAUUCUACUAGGUUGCCACUACAUACUGCUAGGUGUCACUGAUGGAUUGUGGGACUCAUCGGGUGUCAUCUUGAU